rnacentral:rRNA from 1 species
CUUCCGUAGGUGAACCUGCGGAAGGAUCAUUACCGAGUUGAUUCGGGCUCCGGCCCGAUCCUCCCACCCUUUGUGUACCUACCUCUGUUGCUUUGGCGGGCCGCGGCUCUCCCCGGCCGCCCCCCUCCCCGGGGGGUGGCCAGCGCCCGCCAGAGGACCAUCAAACUCCAGUCAGUAAACGAUGCAGUCUGAAAAACAUUUAAUAAACUAAAACUUUCAACAACGGAUCUCUUGGUUCUGGCAUCGAUGAAGAACGCAGCGAAAUGCGAUAAGUAAUGUGAAUUGCAGAAUUCAGUGAAUCAUCGAAUCUUUGAACGCACAUUGCGCCCUUUGGUAUUCCGAAGGGCAUGCCUGUUCGAGCGUCAUUACAACCCUCAAGCUCUGCUUGGUAUUGGGCACCGUCCUUUGCGGGCGCGCCUCAAAGACCUCGGCGGUGGCGUCUUGCCUCAAGCGUAGUAGAACAUACAUCUCGCUUCGGAGCGCAGGGCGUCGCCCGCCGGACGAACCUUCUGAACUUUUCCAAGGUGACCUCGGAUCAGGUAGGGAACCCGCUGAACUAAGCAUAUCAAUAAGCGGAGGAAA